UACAGAGGUCUCAAGCGUUGUUCGGAUUCAUUGGGCGUAAAGGGUGUGUAGGUGGCGCCGUAAGUCGGGUGUGAAAUCUCGGAGCUUAACUCCGAAACUGCAUUCGAUACUGCCGAGCUUGAGGACUGGAGAGGAGACUGGAAUUUACGGUGUAGCGGUGAAAUGCGUAGAUAUCGUAAGGAAGACCAGUGGCGAAGGCGGGUCUCUGGACAGUUCCUGACGCUGAGGCACGAAGGCCAGGGGAGCAAACGGG
rnacentral:rRNA from 1 species